UACGUAGGGGGCAAGCGUUAUCCGGAUUUACUGGGUGUAAAGGGAGCGUAGACGGUUAUGUAAGUCAGAUGUGAAAGCCCAGGGCUCAACCCUGGGACUGCAUUUGAAACUAUGUAACUAGAGUGCAGGAGAGGUAAGUGGAAUUCCUAGUGUAGCGGUGAAAUGCGUAGAUAUUAGGAGGAACACCAGUGGCGAAGGCGGCUUACUGGACUGUAACUGACGUUGAGGCUCGAAAGCGUGGGGAGCAAACAGG
rnacentral:rRNA from 1 species